rnacentral:rRNA from 1 species
CAGUCGCCGCGGGAAUACAGAGGGUGCGAGCGUUAAUCGGAUUUACUGGGCGUAAAGCGUGCGUAGGCGGCUUUUUAAGUCGGAUGUGAAAUCCCUGAGCUUAACUUAGGAAUUGCAUUCGAUACUGGGAAGCUAGAGUAUGGGAGAGGAUGGUAGAAUUCCAGGUGUAGCGGUGAAAUGUGUAGAGAUCUGGAGGAAUACCGAUGGCGAAGGCAGCCAUCUGGCCUAAUACUGACGCUGAGGUACGAAAGCAUGGGGAGCAAACAGGAUUAGAUACCCCAGUAGUCCCUGUCUCUUAUAC